rnacentral:rRNA from 1 species
AGGCCUAACACAUGCAAGUCGAGCGAACCUUCGGGUUAGCGGCGGACGGGUUAGUAACGCGUGGGAACGUGCCCUUCACUAAGGAAUAGCCACUGGAAACGGUGAGUAAUACCUUAUACGCCCUUCGGGGGAAAGAUUUAUCGGUGAAGGAUCGGCCCGCGUCUGAUUAGAUAGUUGGUGGGGUAACGGCCUACCAAGUCGACGAUCAGUAGCUGGUUUUAGAGGAUGAUCAGCAACACUGGGACUGAGACACGGCCCAGACUCCUACGGGAGGCAGCAGUGGGGAAUCUUAGACAAUGGGCGCAAGCCUGAUCUAGCCAUGCCGCGUGAGUGAUGAAGGCCUUAGGGUCGUAAAGCUCUUUCGCCAGGGAUGAUAAUGACAGUACCUGGUAAAGAAACCCCGGCUAACUCCGUGCCAGCAGCCGCGGUAAUACGGAGGGGGUUAGCGUUGUUCGGAAUUACUGGGCGUAAAGCGCACGUAGGCGGACUAUUAAGUCAGAGGUGAAAUCCCGGGGCUCAACCCCGGAACUGCCUUUGAUACUGGUAGUCUUGAGUUCGAGAGAGGUGAGUGGAAUUCCGAGUGUAGAGGUGAAAUUCGUAGAUAUUCGGAGGAACACCAGUGGCGAAGGCGGCUCACUGGCUCGAUACUGACGCUGAGGUGCGAAAGUGUGGGGAGCAAACAGGAUUAGAUACCCUGGUAGUCCACACCGUAAACG